GACGAACGCUGGCGGCGUGCUUAACACAUGCAAGUCGAACGGAAAGGCCCUGCUUUUGUGGGGUGCUCGAGUGGCGAACGGGUGAGUAACACGUGAGUAACCUGCCCUUGACUUUGGGAUAACUUCAGGAAACUGGGGCUAAUACCGGAUAGGAGCUCCUGCUGCAUGGUGGGGGUUGGAAAGUUUCGGCGGUUGGGGAUGGACUCGCGGCUUAUCAGCUUGUUGGUGGGGUAGUGGCUUACCAAGGCUUUGACGGGUAGCCGGCCUGAGAGGGUGACCGGCCACAUUGGGACUGAGAUACGGCCCAGACUCCUACGGGAGGCAGCAGUGGGGAAUAUUGCACAAUGGGCGGAAGCCUGAUGCAGCAACGCCGCGUGCGGGAUGACGGCCUUCGGGUUGUAAACCGCUUUCGCCUGUGACGAAGCGUGAGUGACGGUAAUGGGUAAAGAAGCACCGGCUAACUACGUGCCAGCAGCCGCGGUGAUACGUAGGGUGCGAGCGUUGUCCAGAUUUAUUGGGCGUAAAGGGCUCGUAGGUGGUUGAUCGCGUCGGAAGUGUAAUCUUGGGGCUUAACCCUGAGCGUGCUUUCGAUACGGGUUGACUUGAGGAAGGUAGGGGAGAAUGGAAUUCCUGGUGGAGCGGUGGAAUGCGCAGAUAUCAGGAGGAACACCAGUGGCGAAGGCGGUUCUCUGGGCCUUUCCUGACGCUGAGGAGCGAAAGCGUGGGGAGCGAACAGGCCUAGAUACCCUGGUAGUCCACGCUGUAAACGGUGGGUACUAGGUGUGGGGUCCAUUCCACGGGUUCCGUGCCGUAGCUAACGCUUUAAGUACCCCGCCUGGGGAGUACGGCCGCAAGGCUAAAACUCAAAGGAAUUGACGGGGCCCCGCACAAGCGGCGGAGCAUGCGGAUUAAUUCGAUGCAACGCGUAGAACCUUACCUGGGUUUGACAUGGAUCGGGAGUGCUCAGAGAUGGGUGUGCCUCUUUUGGGGUCGGUUCACAGGUGGUGCAUGGCUGUCGUCAGCUCGUGUCGCGAGAUGUUGGGUUAAGUCCCGCAACGAGCGCAACCCUUGUUCACUGUUGCCAGCACGUUAUGGUGGGGACUCAGUGGAGACCGCCGGGGUCAACUCGGAGGAAGGUGGGGAUGACGUCAAGUCAUCAUGCCCCUUAUGUCCAGGGCUUCACGCAUGCUACAAUGGCUGGUACAGAGAGUGGCGAGCCUGUGAGGGUGAGCGAAUCUCGGAAAGCCGGUCUCAGUUCGGAUUGGGGUCUGCAACUCGACCUCAUGAAGUCGGAAUCGCUAGUAAUCGCAGAUCAGCAACGCUGCGGUGAAUACGUUCCCGGGGCU
rnacentral:rRNA from 1 species